CUCACCUCUUCCAAGCUUGCACGCCACCUUCUCCCUUAUCCGAUCCUCCUCUGCUUUUGCUUUCCUUGAUUUUUCUUCUUCGCUCUUCAAUUUUUCUACUCCAUCAAAACCCUUCGCUCGUGAGUUUCAAGUCACCACGAAGACCACCCAUCUUCGGCCUUCUUCGUGUCUUUUUUUUUUUUCCUGCUCCAGAACGUCGACCAAAGCAGUCCCAAGCAAGCAAAAUUCUCGGCCCAUCUCCUCUCCAUCUUUGCUUGUUUUCCCUACCGCGUGCCAGCACCUCCACUGCUUGUGUCUCCUUCGGUCAAGCUUCAGCAAACGAAGCCCCAAGGGUUGACUCUGAAGCUGCUCUCCUCUCCAUAGCCACGUCCACCUCUUUUCUUCACGGCUGCCGUGCGUCUACUGCCCAUCAACCCAGCAGCCGUUUGUGCUCCUUCUCCACCGAGUUUUGCCGGCCACUGAGUCAGCCGAGUCAAGCCAACGAAGCAACAACCCACCGAAGCAGCCCCCAUCGUUGACUGCAUGCCUCAAAUUCAGUGAAGCCGCGCGUCUCCCAGCUCCAUUUCUGCUUCAGUCUUGCCGAGUACAGCCGCCCUUCUGCCGCUGCCAGGCGUCCCCAUCGUGGACUUCUUCAAGCUGCCAGCGAAGCCGAAGCCACUGGUUCUUCUCUUCACGCCGUCUGCCAUUCCCUCGCCCGAAGCAGCUCCUUCCAUUUCUGUGCUCGGCCCAUCUUCAGCAGUUUAACAGCCCACGAAGCCUUUUUCUUCAGCCCGCAUCAAUAGCCCAGCUCGCAAGAAGUAACAGCCCACCUUCGGGCUUUCUUAUUCAAGCCCAGUCGCAGCAAUCUUUAGUCAUUUGAAGCCCGUUAAUUUCAGCAACUUGGCCUAAAGUCCUCAACAGCAGCCCAUCUCAAUGGAGUCCACAAAGCUAGCGAAGCCCAACUUGAGUUCAGCCCAGUUUGAAGCUAUAGUUAGCCCAUCUCGAGGCCCACUUGAAGACAGCCCAUAAUUCAACCAAGAUCAGCCCACGAAUUUUAGAGCAGCAGCCCACUUGAAGCCCGGCAAUUCCAGAUUCAACAAGCCCAAGCCCACGAAGCCAAGUCCAGAAAUUUCGAUGGGCUUGUAAGGUUUCUUGGCCCGGUCCAAGUUCGUCACGAGCCCAAUUUCGGCCGCCGUCGCGUCGCCGUCGCGGUUUUCAAUCUUCGCUUUGCCAAGUGAGUUUUACUCACUAAUGCUUUCCGAGUUUGCUAAUUAUGCUUAGGGUCGGUUAGAUUUAAUUAAGUGCAAUUAGGUGGUUAGAUUAGUCUAGAACAAUUAAAUUAGUGACUUAAUGAUGCAUAUUAGGUGGUUAGACUUAGUCAUUAGCAAGUAGAGAGCUUCUAAUAUUUAUUGAAUGUAUCUCGGGAUUUUUCCCGAUCCAUUCUGGCGUCCAAUCAGGCAAUACGGGCUUAAAUUGGAUUUUUAGUAUUUAUUUAUUUAUUUUUCGGAAUUAAUUAAUUAUUUAUUUAUUUUUCUGGAAAUUCAACCAGGAUGGCUGGUGAUUGGAAUUUUAUGCUGAUUGUCGUGGUGCAGUCCGUUUAUUUAAUUGAGCUUUAUUUUGUGCGGAAAUGAUUUAUUUGUGAAUUUAGGAUUUAUUCCCUAAUUUAAAUAAUCUUGGAAAAUUAAUUGAAAAUUAACCGGGCAUCAGUUAAUGAUACCAAAAAUGUUUUAGUUGACUAUAGAAAAUAGUGGGAUUUAUAAAAAGGAAAUGAUUAUAUUUUGGCUAGGGUCAAUCGUGUACCCUCACACGACAUUUUAUCAGAAAUGAUAAAAUUAGUUAUUUGAUUGUUUGCUUGGAAUGGCAUGUAUACAGGCUUGAUGACUCCACAGAGCAUCUUGAGACAAGACGGUAUAAUCUAUCGUCUCGAUGACUCCACGAAGCAUCUUAAGACAGGACGGUAUAAUCUAUCGGCUCGAUGACUCUACGGAGCAUCUUGAGACAGUAUGAUAUGAUAAAUUGUAUGAUCUACCGACUCAAUGACUCUACGGAGCAUCUUGAGAUAGUACGGUAUGAUAAAUUGUAUAAUCUACCGACUCGAUGACUCUACAAAGCAUCUGGAAACAAUACGGUAUGAUAAAUUGUGUGUAUACCGACUCGGUGACUUUAUAUGUCAUCUUGAGAUAGGAUGGUAUGAUCUACUGGCUUGGUGACUCUACAGAUUAUCUUGAGACAGUAUGAUAUGAUAUACCAACUCAAUAAUCCUACAGAUCAUCUUGAGACAGUACGGUAUGAUUUGACAGCUCAAUGACUAUAUAUGUUGUCUGAAGAUAAGAUAACAUGCUAUCUAUAUAUCACCUAGGGUGAGUAAUCUUGGAUGUUGAUCAGACUUAUAGAAAGUAUGGAAGGGGUUGAUCAAGAGAUAAUUUGGAUGACAUGUAAUCAACUAGGUCGAUUUAUCGAUAAUUCAAUCUGAUUGGGUAAUGUGAUGUGAUGUGAUGUGAUGUGAUGAUGUAUAUUUGAUAUAUAUACUAACUUGCAGGAAGGAACUGAGGCCAAAGUAAGUCCCCUAACUCGUGUCGUACUUAGGCAACCGUUUGGUGUAUUAGUUUACUAAUCGGGUUUUAGGGGGUAGAACUUGCUAAGAUGUGAUCUCAAUAGUUAUUGAAUAACCAUUUCAGGACCCCGAUGAGGAGCCUGAGGAGGAGGAAUCUGAAGAGGAGAACCCUGAUGUGGAAUUAGAUGAGGAGGAAGAUUUUGGAGAAGAAGAUGACCAUGAGGAGGAUCCUGAGUAUGACCCGGAUGAAGACUGAGAUCCCAUCCUGUUUUGUCAGACCUUAAUUAUAUGUGGAUAAGGGUUAGAUCAGAUCCCUGAGAAUAGUAUUGUAUUAUAUACUGAGGUGCUUGUAUAAAAGAGUAGUUGUGAAUUUCAAUAUGAAAAAUAUAUCCCUACUUUUAUAUCCCAUUACUUUAUUGUUUGGGGAUUUAUAACUACUUCCGCAUGUGCUAUAAAAAUAAAAUAAAAAAGGGUUGGC
rnacentral:lncRNA from 1 species